GUAGUUCCACUUUGUAAUGGUGUGUUAUAAUAGUCAUAAUAAUAAUAUAAGCAAACAGGUUUACAUGGCACUCGGACAUAGUCUUGGUAUGUAAAGGUAAGUUUAUACUUCAAAAAGGUCUGUUUUAACCUGACAAGAAUGCUGUCCAAAAUUAACUAAAACUCGAUCUUUGUGAUCUGUAUUACAUGAAAUUUCAUAUGUUGAAUCGACAACACUGCAUGAGCGACUACCGUAUAUGUCCUUUGGUGUUUGGUUUGCUUUAAUGUUGAUACUAGAAAUUGAUGAAAAUGCAAUAUAAUAUUCCGAAUGUUGAGAGAGAUUCUAAGGAUUGAAUGGAAACUGAUUGUUCCUUGUGAGGACUUGGGAAAACUGUUUGUCUUCUGUUGAGACUUGAGUUAAAGAUCGAAGUAUACUCAACAAAAAUAAUUUCCUGUUUUUAUUACGCAAAACAAUAAGCUUUUUUUCUUUUGGUUUUGACCAAUAUAAAUAAAAGUGUAAAAAAAUAAGAGAAUAUUUUAUG
rnacentral:lncRNA from 1 species